UCUCUUGCCUGUCCUGCUGUUCCAUUUUGCAGUAUCUUAUGAGAUUCCUAAGAGUAUCCUGGACACAUUGAAGAGAAGGGUGAGCCUUACUCAUUUCCAGUGAGAGAAAUGAGUGAAAUGGGUCUGAUUUACAUCACAGGUGAGCUAGACAGCAUACAAGUAAAGAACCUGAUCCUCAAGCACAAUAUCUAAAAGUAAAAAAUAUCACACUUUUUUUCCUAACUGAAGUUCAGCCUUCUGUGGUGAAGUUGGUUUUCCUACUGUGACCUGUGCACUCCGGUCUACCAGCCUGACACUACACGCCAUCUGCUGGUUCCAAACUAUAUAGCUCCAGAGUAACUGCUGACGCUGUUGGGGAACAGAGGACCUGGCCUCCUGAAGAAGCACCAACAGGCCCUCUGCUUCAAGUUGUAGGUGUGAACAAAUCCAGACCACUAAGAGGCCCUCCAGUCCUCCUUGAAUUUGGGUAUGGAUCCUAAGAUUUGCUCCAGUACCUCUGCAGCCAGCACCCAGAGCAGCUAAUGAAAGGAUUCAAGCCGGACGUUCAGGGAUAAGGAGAGACGGCUACAAUGAUACUUCAAAUUGGUAUGUAUCAG